GAUGAACGCUGGCGGCGUGCCUAAUACAUGCAAGUCGAGCGAACGGACGAGAAGCUUGCUUCUCUGAUGUUAGCGGCGGACGGGUGAGUAACACGUGGAUAACCUACCUAUAAGACUGGGAUAACUUCGGGAAACCGUAUCUAAUACCGGAUAAUAUUUUGAACCGCAUGGUUCAAAAGUGAAAGACGGUCUUGCUGUCACUUAUAGAUGGAUCCGCGCUGCAUUAGCUAGUUGGUAAGGUAACGGCUUACCAAGGCAACGAUGCAUAGCCGACCUGAGAGGGUGAUCGGCCACACUGGAACUGAGACACGGUCCAGACUCCUACGGGAGGCAGCAGUAGGGAAUCUUCCGCAAUGGGCGAAAGCCUGACGGAGCAACGCCGCGUGAGUGAUGAAGGUCUUCGGAUCGUAAAACUCUGCUAUUAGGGAAGAACAUAUGUGUAAGUAACUGUGCACAUCUUGACGGUACCUAAUCAGAAAGCCACGGCUAACUACGUG
rnacentral:rRNA from 1 species